CCUAACAAGCCACCGAUCCUGCGAUGUGAAAGUCAAUUCGCCUGAGCGGCAAAGGGAAAGAUGCCAGCAGAGAAAGUUGAGUGCCACAGAAAAGUCACAGCUUAUGUGGUGAAAAGGCUGCAUACCUUCUCAGAAGUUGAUGCACCGACAUUUACGGAUAUGAUCGAUUCUAUAAACCCCAGGUACACCCCCCCUACAAGGGACUACUUGGCACUCCCAUCCUGGUACCAGAUAGAAAAUUUCCAAUAUAAUCUGUAAGCUUAGUGAAGUCCACUACAUUGCCCUCACUUGUGAUGGCCUGACUAGCAUUGUUCAAUGCCCUACCUUACUGUCACAGCACACUAUUUAGUGGAGGGCAAAAUGAGGCAAAAAGUGCUCCAAACAAAACGUGUCUACACAGCCCAGACAGGACUUGUCGUGGCAGAGGAAAUUGGUGACAUCCCGACAGAGUUUGGCAUUUUUGACAAAGUGGUGGCCACCACAGUUGAUAAUGUGGCCAAUAUGGACUAGCCAUAAAAAAAGCCGCAAUUUGUGAAGCUAGGCUGCUUUGCUCAUACACUCAGUCUAGCUGCACAGUCUUUACUCACUGAUCGCAGUGACUCAGUGGAUGGUGAAGAUCUGUGGCAUCGUCGUGUGGACAAAGAGGUCGUCCAUGGCCAAGAUUGUUCUGCGGGAGAAGCAGGAUCCCUUCAUUUGACCCUGGUGCAUGGUAUCUAAUUAAAAGCUGCCUCAACACUCACUCAUUCUUGACGUGAGAGCUCGAUGUACUUCUCUCUACCUAAUGCUGGAGAGAUUCCUAAAACAAUACCCUGCAAUUCAAGCAGCCAGCUUGGAUCAACAGCUGAGAAAGCAUAUCGA